rnacentral:lncRNA from 1 species
UGGCCGAGUUGUAGUUUGCAGAGCGGAUUAGGGGCUUCAGGCACUCUUGCAGAUCCCCUUUCUCAGGCCUCUAGCACCUCUCACUCCAGGAAUGGGAUUUUGCAAAGCCCUCCAGGAAAGCGAGUCGCAGCCCAGCUGGGAGGCCCUGGCCCUGGGGCGCAAGCGCAGAGCGGCGCCCGUGGUUCCUCGCGCCCUAGUCCCUGUGUUCUGCACCUGGGCAGCAGCGCUGGGAGGACCGGGUGCCGCCGCCCGCUCAGGCAUUGGCUAGGAGGGACGCGGAGCCGGGGUGCUCAGGAGCCUGAAUAAAACCGGGCCAGGUCCUGGGAAGCCUGGCGGGCGUUAGAGCGCCGCCCGGUCGCCCCUGGGUUUCCCUCUAAUCCUUCCGGCCUCCCCACGGCUCACAAACUGUGGUUCCGCCCCCGCCGCGGGUCCGGCCCGGGCUGUGUCUGGGCGCUUGGCCCGAGGUGGCGGCAGGAAUCCCGGCGUGAGAAUUGGACAUGAUCACUCAGUUGGAGGGAGAACAACUGUGGAUGCUGGAUCUUCAGGGACCUGAGGAGGGACGUGCUCAGACAGGCCUUCCUAGCCUUGCCUUUUCAGGACUCUGCUCUUUCCUGGAUUGGGAGCACGGAGGAGGAAAGAGCCUCAUAGGAAUGCAUAAUCCAAAUCUCAGUUUCAGGUCGGGUCCUGGAACUUGAUGCUGCAUCUCAGCAACUGAAGGCUCAUCCG